GGGAGCUUGGAUGUGGAAGCUCUUUGGAAACCAAGAAACACUCUGCAAAUGAAAAGGGUGGAAGAGUAAACUGUUCCCGUUUCUCCAAAUUGACAGGAAGCAGAAGUUCUCCUUAGCUGAUUUUUCUUCUUGCCUUAUACUGGGUUCUUUAACACCAGAACAAAAAUAAAUAAAUAAAAGAAUCUUCCAGAAAUUCAUGAAGAGACUUCAGGUCAGGAAAGCCUGAACUUUCUCAUCUAACACCUGUUCAAGUCGGAGGAUGCUGAUUAAUUCAUGAUGGAAAGGUAUCAAUUUCACAGCCCAGACUUCUACAUUCUUGAAAUGCUGUUCUCAUGGGAGACAUUAAAUAAGCUUUGAAAUAACUAAAAAUAUCCAACCCGGGCAGGAUAAUACUGAUCAUCCUGAGGAUAUUGCCCUUGGAGUUAAUUUUUUGAGAGAAAUAAAACAAGAAACAUCAUAAGACACAAACCCCAAGCAACUGAUCUCACUGUCAAAAUCCAACCUGAGAACAAUGGAAUGGACCAUACAGUCUUUGUCACAACUCUGCCAUUGUAGUGUGAAAGCAUCCAUAGAUGGUACACAAAUGCAUGGAUGUAGUUGUAUUCCAGUACAACUGCAAAAAGCAGACAGCUGGCUGGAUUUAGCCUAUGGGCCAUAGUUUACACAACUCAAUCUAGGUGAUUGCCUGGUAACUUUGUGAUUGUAAAGAGGAAA
rnacentral:antisense_RNA from 1 species